GGGCUGCUGGGGAGCUGCAGGCCUGCACGGCCGCCCGGGUCCCCUUUCGGCAGCACGCAGACGUUCUAGUUCUGUAAUCUCGCAGUUACGCUCCCUUAACUGGAUUGCCCGGUUUACAGCUGCCAUCAAAGCCUUCUUAAAGCGACAGUUCAAAGAAACCAUCUCACCCUCCACGCCCCAACCCCCUCAACAAAACCCCACAAACCCAACAACGACCAAAAAAACCCCAAAACCAAAAGCAAACAACCCUCCAAAAAAACCCCCCACAACUCUCCCAAAAAACCAAACCCCAAAAACCAAAAACAAACCAACCCACCCAAAACCCAAAAGAACCCCCAAAACAAAACAAAUAAAAACAAUCAAAACCCACAAACAAACAAACCCCAAACAAACAAGCAAUAAACCAAACAAAACAAAAAACCCCAAAACAAACAAAAAACCCCCAACCCUACAAGAAAAAAUUGCUUUGGUGUGUUUUGGGGAGUCGAGAGAAGGAAUGUCUUUCUUGCUGGUAGAGAGAUUCUUAAGGGUGCUUGAAUAUGUACAAAAUCUGCUCAGUAACAAAGUGUGAGGCUUCAUACUUCGCUCUCGUCAUGUCACCAUGGGCAUAGUUCCACUGAUUUUGCUAAACUGCUCCUAAACAGUGGUGCAUCAGAGGAGUUAAUGUGACAUUACAUGGGAGGGAUAACGCUGGCUUUCCUGAACCAUUCCUACAUGAAUUAAGACUUGUUAACAGAGUCAAGAUUAAGGAAAGUGACUCUAAUCCACUGGUUUGGACGUUCAUCUGGUGUAUUCGAAAGCCAGCUGUGUUUUUCAGCCCCACAGGCAUACAGAAUGCUUCUAUUGUUUCUAUAUCCUGCUUAUACAGGAAUGUUCACUGGUUUCUUUGAGCUGGAAGAAGGUUAUUCAUGAGCUUAAAGAUGUCAUUUUUGGGCAUUAGAAAAUAUUUUUCUCUCCUGCUGUUGUGAAAGAAGAACGGCAAGUACUGACAUGAAACAUUUUGAGAAAUUUGUUCUGUUCUUUUUAUAAAAGGGAAAGCAGUCCUGCCAAAAUUAAAACCUUCCAGUGACUUAAA